UGGGGAAUAUUAGACAAUGGGGGAAACCCUGAUCCAGCCAUGCCGCGUGAGUGAUGAAGGCCUUCGGGUUGUAAAGCUCUUUUGGCGGGGACGAUGAUGACGGUACCCGCAGAAUAAGCCCCGGCUAACUUCGUGCCAGCAGCCGCGGUAAGACGAAGGGGGCUAGCGUUGUUUGGAAUUACUGGGCGUAAAGCGCGUGUAGGCGGUUGCCAAAGUCGGGUGUGAAAGCCUUGAGCUCAACUCCAGAACUGCCUUCGAUACUGGGAGUCUUGAGUUCGGGAGAGGUGAGUGGAACUGCGAGUGUAGAGGUGAAAUUCGUAGAUAUUCGCAAGAACACCAGUGGCGAAGGCGGCUCACUGGCCCGAUACUGACGCUGAGGUGCGAAAGCGUGGGGAGCAAACA
rnacentral:rRNA from 1 species